UACGUAGGGUGCGAGCGUUAAUCGGAAUUACUGGGCGUAAAGCGUGCGCAGGCGGUUUUGUAAGCCAGAUGUGAAAUCCCCGGGCUUAACCUGGGAAUGGCAUUUGGGACUGCAAGGCUAGAGUGUGGCAGAGGAGACUGGAAUUCCUGGUGUAGCAGUGAUAUGCGUAGAUAUCAGGAGGAAUACCGAUGGCGAAGGCAGGUCUCUGGGCUAACACUGACGCUCAUGCACGAAAGCGUGGGGAGCAAACAGG
rnacentral:rRNA from 1 species